rnacentral:rRNA from 1 species
AUUGAACGCUGGCGGCAUGCCUUACACAUGCAAGUCGAACGGCAGCACGGGUGCUUGCACCUGGUGGCGAGUGGCGAACGGGUGAGUAAUACAUCGGAACGUACCUUAUCGUGGGGGAUAACGCAGCGAAAGCUGUGCUAAUACCGCAUACGCCCUGAGGGGGAAAGCGGGGGAUCGAAAGACCUCGUGCGAAUAGAGAGGCCGAUGCCUGAUUAGCCUGUUGGGGGGGUGAAAGCCCACCAAGGCGACGAUCAGUAACUGGUCUGGGAGGAAGAUCCGACAGACUGGCACUGAGACACGGACCAGACUGCUACGGGAGGCAGCAGUGGGGAAUUUUGGACAAUGGGGGCAACCCUGUUACAGCCAUGCCGCGUGAGUGAAAAAGGCCUUAGUUUUGUAAAGCACUUUUGUCAGGGAAGAAUCACCGGCUCUAACCCAGUCCGGGAAUUACGGUACCUGAAGAAUAAGCACCGGCUAACUACGUGCCCGCAGCCGCCGUAA